rnacentral:rRNA from 1 species
UACGAAGGGGGCUAGCGUUGUUCGGAAUUACUGGGCGUAAAGCGCACGUAGGCGGAUAUUUAAGUCAGGGGUGAAAUCCCGGGGCUCAACCCCGGAACUGCCUUUGAUACUGGGUAUCUCGAGUCCGAGAGAGGUGAGUGGAAUUCCGAGUGUAGAGGUGAAAUUCGUAGAUAUCCGGAGGAACACCGGUGGCGAAGGCGGCUUCCUGGACCGACACUGACGCUGAGGCGCGAAAGCUAGGGGAGCAAACGGG